UACGUAGGGGGCGAGCGUUAUCCGGAUUUACUGGGUGUAAAGGGAGCGCAGGCGGAAGGCUAAGUCUGGUGUGAAAGCCCGGGGCUCAACCCCGGAACUGCAUUGGAAACUGGCCAUCUGGAGUACCGGAGGGGUAGGCGGAAUUCCUAGUGUAGCGGUGAAAUGCGUAGAUAUUAGGAGGAACACCAGUGGCGAAGGCGGCCUACUGGACGGUAACUGACGCUGAGGCUCGAAAGCGUGGGGAGCAAAC
rnacentral:rRNA from 1 species